rnacentral:lncRNA from 1 species
GCCCAGUCCCCCAGAGUGGUCGUGCAGGUAUACGUUAGAAAUUUUAUUCUCUGGAGGUUGGGGCGGACUGAGAGCAGGUCUGGGGUCAUCCCUUCUCCGGCUCCUCCUGGUUGCCUUCUCGGAUCGGACUCUCCUGCUUCCGAAUCUGGUCUGGUUGCCUCUUGCUUGGCCGCGAGGAGCCCCGACGACCGAACGUGGAUAGUCGCCGCCACAGCACGGUAAUCAGAAGGCUUUCGUUCGACUUGUGAUUCGGAUGGUCCGGGGAGUUCAAGUCGAUAUCUUCGGCGCCUGAGGGGACGACGAGGCCUCUGAGCUCACCCCUACCCUCGGGAAGCCCCCUCUCACACUCCCUGGGCCCUCUUUGUGUGUCUGUGGUCUCAUCUUCCCUGCCGUCCUCAGACUCUUCCUCCUUGGACUGCUCAUCAGACAUCUCAAAGUCCUUGUCUUGGCAGCAGCCCAUGGCCCCGCGUGGCCCUGGACUCCGUGCCACCCACGCCAGCCUGCCUGCCUCCAGGCCCGGCUUUUGUGACAUCAGAUAUCCCGUCGCCCCAGCUCAGGCAGCCCCCACCCCAAGCUACCCCUCAUUCCUUUCUCCCAUCACAAAAGGCUCAGGGUCAUGGUGGGUGUUCAGCAGUUUAUUUACAAAGUGGGCACAGGGGCGUCAGGGGCUGGUGGACCCAGGCCGCUUCUUCUUUCUCCGUCUCGUUUGGAGAGCUCCUUGGGGCUGCUCCAAACCCGAGAGCUUCCGCUUGGCAGCUGCCUCCAAGGAUGCCCAAAGUUCAUCUGUCUCUGUGUCUUCUAGGGGCACCUUGUUGGGUUCUUGAGGCUCUUGGGGCUCAUCCUGGUGAGUGGGAAGAAAGCUUAGGAGUCAGGGGGGCCGGGCACGGUGGCUCCCACCUGUAAUCUCAGCACUUUGGGAGACCAAGGCAGGAGGAUUGCUUGAGCCCAGGACUUAGCGACCAGACUGGGCAACAUAAGGAGACCCCAUCUCCACAAAAAGAAGUUUAAAAAAAAAAAAAAAAAAAAAAAAAAAGAAAAGUAGUCAGGGGCACAGGGACAAACCCACAGGGAAGGAGACCCUGGCUGAGAAAGAAUCCCUCUGGGUACCACCACCUUUAUUCCCUGCUCCUAGAAAGCAACCCCAUCCAUGCUGUUGGCAAUAACCCUCUCAGGAUUUUAACUGUUAAUGCCUCUCAGAGAAAUUAAGUGACCAGGCAGGUAAACAGAUAGUCC